GAAGAAGAGGGUCACCUUUGAUCCAAUUUCGAUGACUUAUGCUGAACUCUAUCCAUCUCUGAUUAAUAGAAAGUUAAUCACUCUGCGAGACCCUCCCGCUGUACCUGCUAACCCUCAGUGGUGGUACAAGCCUGAGCUUCAUUGUGUGUAUCAUUCCGGUGCUCCCGGACAUGGCGUGGAGAAUUGUUAUCCUCUGAAGACCAAGGUGCAAGACCUUGUAAGAAGCGGGAUUUUGUUUUUCGAGGACGUAGGUCCGAAUGUGAAGAAGAACCCACUGCCCGAGCAUGGGAAAUCUGUCAAUAUGGUCAAGGGUUGCCCUGGAAAAUACAAAGUCAAAUAUGUCAGUCAUAUCCGACAAUCGCUGGUUGAGAUGCAUCGCUUGCUGUGUGAUUACAGCCAUUAUGAACACGACCACGAUAGAUGUCGAGUAUGCUCUGUUAAUCAGAGAGGGUGUCGCCAGGUGCGCGGAGAUGUUCAAGAGAUGUUGGAUGAAGGAGUCAUUGAGAUCCUUCAAAACAGAAAUGUUGACGAAGAUGCUCUCGAAGUCAACUUAAUUUCUCCAGUAUUCCGGAUACCUGAUCCUGUUGUCAUCAAGUAUGAUGGUAUCAAGCAGAAGGCUUCUCCAGCUCUGACUAUCAAGCCAGCCGACCCUUACCGUACUCCUCCGAGAAGGCAGUCCCUUAUCGCUACAAUGCUGUAGCAGUGGAAAAUGGGAAAGAGGUGUCCCUGCCCUCUUCAUUUGUUGUUAACAUUGUUGACGUCAGCGGUUUGACCCGUAGUGGUCGUGUAUUUUCAGCUCCAUUGAAGCCUCAAGUUGAUGCUCGAGGAAGUAUUGAUGCUGAUUUUGUUGAAUGCCCGAUUGGGAAUGCUGUGAACACUCCAAAUCCGGAACCUGUUGCUAAGCCCUCCUCUACGUUGAAAACUCCUGCUUCUGCUGGCUCGAGUGGCAAUACGAGAGAAGAUUAUGAUGAGAUGUUGAGGCUCAUCAAAAGAAGCGAGUACAACGUUGUAGAUCAGCUUCUACAAACGCCAUCCAAAAUAUCUGUGUUAUCAUUGCUUUUGAAUUCAGAACCACACCGAGAAGCUCUGCAGAAGGUGUUGGAUGUGGCGUAUGUGGAUCACGAUGUCACGAUAGAACAGUUUGAUAGCAUUGUUGCAAACAUCACCGCUUGUAACAACCUGAGUUUUUGUGACGCUGAUGUCCCCGAGGAAGGAAGAGACCAUAACUUGGCAUUACAUAUAUCUAUGAGCUGCAAAGAUGACGCCAUGUCCAAUGUGUUGGUCGACACUGGAUCAUCGUUGAAUGUAUUGCCGAAGACCACUCUCACGAAGUUGUCAUGCUUUUUCUAGUUCUUCUUCCAAGUGCAGGAUAACCCCAAGGAGUUGAGGGUUUUUUUCUACCAAUUGGCGCCCUCCCUUCACCACCCCCAUGUGGAUGGUCUACAGGGUUCAUAACUAACCCCUCUUACUACAGGACGCUUGCCUCGCCAACGUUUAGCUCCGCUCUGCCCAAACUUUUCUGGUUUACCCCAACAUUCCCUACUUGUCCGACUGUUGCUGAGCAGUUUUUUGAUAUCAAACGGACCUCUCCAGAAGGUAAUUUUAAUGUUGCUGAUUUACCCUCUUUUGCAAUCAGUUUCGCUACAGCACCCGCUGGCUUCUAGCUAAAUUGUCCACCCUUUCCAAGUGUUAUUUCUAUGUUAUGUAUGGCCGUGCCUAACGGCAUAUCGGUUGAAGUAGAUUCUUCUUUUUGAUCAAUCAAAACCCCUUCCCAAACUAUACAAGCUUCUUCCAAAGCAUACGGCUUUCUGGAUGUAGAUUAUAAUAUCUAUACAGAUGCAUCUUAUAUAUCGUUUAUUUCGUAGAUUAUAUAUGACAUAACGAAGUACCAUACCACAUGAGUGGAUUUAUAAUCUACGAAUCAAAAUCUUCCGAAUGAAUGACUCAUGUUAUGAUCUUCUACAUCCUAGGUCUUUCUGUUCCGUUCCUUCAUCUGGCUUAUGUUCUUCAUGUAGCAUUCAGACCGAAUGACUCUAAGAAAUUACGUUGCUACUUACACCUAGUACGGGUAACGUAGGAGACAUUUCUAUUUUUUCCCGGAGGAAUCCUUAGAAUUACCACUGCUUCGCUUUCAAUUUGCCUUUGACCAUCAAAUGAAAUGUGAAAUAAUCCUUGUCUUCCCGGUUAGUUGAACGAGGAGCGCUUCGUGUUCUGUCGGUGCUUGAAACAAUUUUGUCUUCUCCAUAUUACUAUAUCUCUAGGGUCAAUAAUUGUAUAUUGGGAACUACUGAACUCAAUCACUUGUUGCCGUUAUUCUUCAGUUUUCUGUUGAAGUCUAUCUACUCCAAUUGGAUCAGUGAUCGAUUUCUAGGUUUCGCCAUAAACCUAAUUGGUUACUUCCAAUUACGUAAAUCAAUAGUUCAAACCGCACUCGAAGGUAGGGCAUUUCCCAUUUUUAUAGGAACUUCUGUACCAUAAACAAUGGUAUCUCCAAUUAUAGCCCCUUUGGGGUGUAAAAUAUAUCUUUUCUCACCAUCCCCAUAGUGUAUGAGACAAAUGUGUACAUUUCGAUUAGGGUCAUAUUCUAUGGUUAUGAUUCUACCAUAUAUGUCUUUUUCAUUGCGUCUAAAAUCAAUUUUACGGUAUAGACGCUUAUGACCUCCCCCUCUAUGCCCUGCGGUAAUGAUUCCAUGUGCAUUUCGAUUAGGGUCAUAUUCUAUGGUUAUGAUUCUACCAUAUAUGUCUUUUUCAUUGCGUCUAAAAUCAAUUUUACGGUAUAGACGCUUAUGACCUCCCCCUCUAUGCCCUGCGGUAAUGAUUACUCUGGCAUUACGCCCUUUACCACAAUGAUGCUGUCCAGAAAUCAAACGAUUUCGUGAAUUGGAUUUCACUUGACUGUUUACGGCUCCAUUGCGUGUGCUCGGGCUAGAAGUUUUGGAUAAAUGUAUCACCAUGUUAUGUUAUUAAGUGUAUUUUUAUUAAAGUUCUUUUCUUUCUAAGAGGUGGAAUAGAAUAACACGGUUGAAGCGUAAUGAUCAUACGUUGUUGAUGAAUUUAAUCUUCAUCCCAGAAUAAUACCACAAGAUAUGUUUGCCCUACUUCCUUAUUCACCCUAAUAAUAAUGUCUUUGUCAAGUUUUUCCGAGAAUUCAGAUAUCCAUUUUUGAUUCAAUUCAGAAAUAUCCAAAAGUAAUAUUAUCAUAUAUCAAAGUUUUUCCGAGAAUUCAGAUAUCCAUUUUUGAUUCAAUUCAGAAAUAUCCAAAAGUAAUAUUAUCAUAUAUCUCCGGAUUCUUGAUUAGUUCUAAUUUCUAUAGAAUAACACGGUUGAAGCGUAACGAUCAUACGUUUGUAAUGCAUUGUAUGUCCUAUAAUAGGUCGCAUUCUUCUUCUUCUACCCUUUCUUGGGAGUCGAUGACUAUUCAUAGCUAUUACCCUGACACCAAAGAAGAGUUCCAUCCAAUGUUCGAUUUCUGUCCUAGUUGAUCCUGAUUCGACAUCAAAAGUAUAUUGAUUUUUUCCCCAUAACCGAAUACUUUUUUCUGUAAAUACUGCAUAUUUGAUUCCAUUCAUAAAUCUAUUUUAUUCUUUCUUCCCUACGAGUUCUAGUCUCAAUAAGAAUACUAGCUUUUUUACUGUUCAUAUAUUAUAAUAUAAGUUGAAUAUACCGCACCAAUUUGUUAUGUAUGGGUGAUGAGAUUCCAUUGAUAGAGAUCCAACCGCUCUUGUUUCCCGGACACAUGGUCAGAACUUCGUCUCAAUAAUACUACUAAAUUUAGAAAUGAUGAAUUAUUGAAGUUUAUAUCAUUAACUAUUCUAUUUUUAUAUCAUUAACGAUGAUUUUUGUGAAUAAAUGAAUCACCCUGACACCAAAGAAGAGUUCCAUCCAAUGUUUGAUUUCUGUCCUAGUUGAUCCUGAUUCGACAUCAAAAGUAUAUUGAUUUUUUCCCCAUAACCGAAUACUUUUUUCUGUAAAUACUGCAUAUUUUAUUCCAUUCAUAAAUCUAUUUUAUUCUUUCUUCCCUAUGAGUUCUAGUCUCAAUAAGAAUACUAGCUUUUUUACUGUUCAUAUAUUAUAAUAUAAGUUGAAUAUACCGCACCAAUUUGUUAUGUAUGGGGGAUGAGAUUCCAUUGAUAGAGAUCCAACCGCUCUUGUUUCUCGGACACAUGGUCAGAACUUCGUCUCAAUAAUACUACUAAAUUUAGAAAUGAUGAAUUAUUGAAGUUUAUAUCAUUAACUAUUCUAUUUUUUUAUCAUUAACGAUGAUUUUUGUGAAUAAAUGAAUCAAAAAGAUAAAAAAAAUAUUUUUCCGUUAGAUUUUAUAUUCACUUAAAAAAUUGAAAUUAUAAUUGAAUAUGUUUGUUGUUUGUGAGAACCCAAACUAUUCUAUUUUUAUAUCAUUAACGAUGAUUUUUGUGAAUAAAUGAAUCAAAAAGAUAAAAAAAAUAUUUUUCCGUUAGAUUUUAUAUUCACUUAAAAAAUUGAAAUUAUAAUUGAAUAUGUUUGUCGUUUGUGAGAACCCCUUGAAUCAUUACAUUACUUGAUUGAAAGGGUUCUCGACGAUUUAUGGAAAGUAUAUAUGCUUUCCAUAUUUUGCUUUCUCAGGUUCUUUUAGUCAAUUAGAUGUAAAUGAACCGUAACUAUGUAGUCCUAUUCCUAAUAGAUUGAUCCCAAAAUAACAUAUCCAAAUUAUAAGAAAUCCUAUCGAGGCCACUAUUGAAGAAUUUAUACCUUCUAAUUUUUUCUUUUUUCUAGUAUGUAAAUAAAUCGCGAAUAUGGUCCAAGUAAUAAAGGCCCAAGUUUCCUUUGGAUCCCAAUUCCAAUAGGAACCCCAUGCCUCGUUAGCCCAUACUGCUCCUGAAAGAAUACCUACCGUUAAAAAGAGAAAACCCAGACUAGUAAUACGAUAACCCCAACGAUCCAAUUGUUGAAUAAAUUGACACCUGUAAUAAUUUCUAGAACUAGAAGAUGAAAAAGAAAUUCUUCGUAAAACAUUGUUUCUUUCAUUCCUAUUCAUGUAUUUGAUUUCAACAAAAUCAACUUUUUUUUUUAAAGAAUCCAAAUUCUUGCU
rnacentral:lncRNA from 1 species